UAAUUGUAAAAAUUGUAUGAAAAUUGACACUUAGGGCAUUUCGAAUAUAACCGAUAAAUAGAAGAUACUUUGAAAUAAAAAGUGACCCAUUGAACAAUUAAAUAUUUUUAUUAGAACAUCGAUAAAAAAAAAUGAGAACAAAUCUUGCAUCUAACGGUGCACUGUGUUUGCAUCGAUAUCUUUGAGGGGUAAUCUACGAAUAUUAUUAUAAACACAGCUUAGAAAAUAAUCGUAAAUGCUGCUUUAUAAUCGUAUAAUUGAAGUUAGAAGUGUGCACAUACCUUACUAUUAUAUAUAGAAUGAGCAAAUACUGUUUACGAAUAUCUUGUACGCGUUUCAACAAUAUAUUCUGCACGUUUUGCUUACGACGAAAUAACGAAUGCGAAUGGUUUGUUGAAAUAAACGAAGCCUUGUUACAAUAUGUCGCUAUCAACUGUUACCAAGGCGCCACAGUGAUAAACGGUCCAUUGGGGAAGAAUGUUGUCUUACAUCGUCAAUUUAUUAUUAUUUUGCCAUUAUAUGCUUUGAAUAAUAAAAAUACUCC
rnacentral:misc_RNA from 1 species